AAUACGUUCCCGGGCCUUGUACACACCGCCCGUCACACCACGAAAGUUGGCAACACCCGAAGCCGGUGGCCCAACCCUUGGGAGGGAGCCGUCGAAGGUGGGGUUAGCGAUUGGGGUG
rnacentral:rRNA from 1 species